rnacentral:rRNA from 1 species
UACAGAGGGGGCAAGCGUUGUUCGGAAUUAUUGGGCGUAAAGCGCACGUAGGCGGCUUUGCAAGUCCCAUGUGAAAUCCCACGGCUCAACCGUGGAAGUGCAUGGGAAACUGCAGAGCUUGAGUACUUAAGAGGAUCGCGGAAUUCCCGGUGUAGAGGUGAAAUUCGUAGAUAUCGGGAGGAACACCAGUGGCGAAGGCGGCGAUCUGGGAAGAUACUGACGCUGAGGUGCGAAAGCGUGGGGAGCAAACAGG